rnacentral:rRNA from 1 species
GGAGGAUCCAAGCGUUAUCCGGAUUUAUUGGGUUUAAAGGGUGCGUAGGCGGUUUGAUAAGUUAGAGGUGAAGUACCGGGGCUCAACUCCGGAACUGCCUCUAAUACUGUUGAACUAGAGAGUAGUUGCGGUAGGCGGAAUGUAUGGUGUAGCGGUGAAAUGCUUAGAGAUCAUACAGAACACCGAUUGCGAAGGCAGCUUACCAAACUAUAUCUGACGUUGAUGCACGAAAGCGUGGGGAGCAAACAGGAUUAGAUACCCUGGUAGUCCACGCAGUAAACGAUGAUAACUCGUUGUCGGCGAUACACAGUCGGUGACUAAGCGAAAGCGAUAAGUUAUCCACCUGGGGAGU